rnacentral:rRNA from 1 species
GAUGAACGCUAGCGGCAGGCUUAACACAUGCAAGUCGAGGGGUAAGGUAGCAAUAUCUGAGACCGGCGCACGGGUGCGUAACGCGUAUGCAAUCUACCUUUACAGAGGGAUAGCCCAGAGAAAUUUGGAUUAAUACCUCAUAGCAUUGCGAAAUGGCAUCAUUUGCAAUUAAAGUUCCAACGGUAAAAGAUGAGCAUGCGUCCUAUUAGCUAGAUGGUAAGGUAACGGCUUACCAUGGCUACGAUAGGUAGGGUCCUGAGAGGGAGAUCCCCCACACUGGUACUGAGACACGGACCAGACUCCUACGGGAGGCAGCAGUGAGGAAUAUUGGACAAUGGGCGCAAGCCUGAUCCAGCCAUGCCGCGUGCAGGAAGAAGCAUCUAUG